AUUGAACGCUGGCGGCAUGCCUUACACAUGCAAGUCGAACGGUAACAGGUCUUCGGAUGCUGACGAGUGGCGAACGGGUGAGUAAUACAUCGGAACGUGCCUAGUAGUGGGGGAUAACUACUCGAAAGAGUGGCUAAUACCGCAUGAGAUCUACGGAUGAAAGCAGGGGAUCGCAAGACCUUGUGCUACUAGAGCGGCCGAUGGCAGAUUAGGUAGUUGGUGGGAUAAAAGCUUACCAAGCCGACGAUCUGUAGCUGGUCUGAGAGGACGAUCGGCCACACUGGGACUGAGACACGGCCCAGACUCCUACGGGAGGCAGCAGUGGGGAAUUUUGGACAAUGGGCGGAAGCCUGAUCCAGCAAUGCCGCGUGCAGGAUGAAGGCCUUCGGGUUGUAAACUGCUUUUGUACGGAACGAAAAGCCCCGGGUUAAUACCCUGGGGUCAUGACGGUACCGUAAGAAUAAGCACCGGCUAACUACGUGCCAGCCGCCGCGGUAA
rnacentral:rRNA from 1 species